rnacentral:rRNA from 1 species
GAUGAACGCUGGCGGCGUGCCUAACACAUGCAAGUCGAACGGAGUCGUUUUGGAAAUCUCUUCGGGGAUGGAAUUCUCGACUUAGUGGCGGACGGGUGAGUAACGCGUGAGCAAUCUGCCUUUAAGAGGGGGAUAACAGUCGGAAACGGCUGCUAAUACCGCAUAAAGCAUUAAAUUCGCAUGUUUUUGAUGCCAAAGGAGCAAUCCGCUUUUAGAUGAGCUCGCGUCUGAUUAGCUAGUUGGCGGGGUAACGGCCCACCAAGGCGACGAUCAGUAGCCGGACUGAGAGGUUGAACGGCCACAUUGGGACUGAGACACGGCCCAGACUCCUACGGGAGGCAGCAGUGGGGAAUAUUGCGCAAUGGGGGAAACCCUGACGCAGCAACGCCGCGUGAUGGAAGAAGGCCUUCGGGUUGUAAAGAUCUUUAAUCAGGGACGAAACAAAUGACGGUACCUGAAGAAUAAGCUCCGGCUAACUACGUG